GUAGGUGAACCUGCGGAAGGAUCAUUACCAAAUCCAAAACUUUUAUCAACACCAAAACAAAGUGAACUGAGAAUGGUUUCGUUCCCCCCCCCCCCUCUUUUUCUGGGCGGGGGAGGGGGAAUGCUUUUUUUAUUCAACCCCUUUUCAACCUCUUACAAUUCUUUUAUGCUGAAAGCAAAACAAAAACGAAACAUGAGACAACUUUUAACGGUGGAUCUCUUGGCUCGU
rnacentral:misc_RNA from 1 species